UAUGCUGCUCUUGUGCUUUUCUUUUGACUCCUAAUCUGAUGCAGAUUUCUAUUCCCUUCUCAGCUCUGGCAGCCCUUUAAGAUUAGACCCUGCCUUGCAAGACAGUGCUCUGGGUAUUGUCCCUGAAAAUCAGGUUUCCAAGGGACAGAAACUUGGACGUGCAGAGCAGAGCGAGUUGUGGAGUGCUGAUCCAGGCUGGAAGACCAGGACACAGACCGAGCCUUGCAACUCAGCCACCUGGCAGUCUGGGCAAGCCAUAGCUUUUCAGCGGUGUGCCUGAAGUAAUACUCUGUUGCAAACUGGGGAGUUGAAUAGUACAAUCACAAGAAAGAACGAACUUGCUGGGUAAUAUUUUGUAGCAUUUUCAGAGGUAAGCUCAAUAACUGCGAGCCCUAAAAUUAUUUGUUUAGCACCCCGAUAACAGCUCUUCCAAAGACAGUGGUUUGGGGUGAAUGUUCCUCUGGUCUGAUUUCAUAUUGAUUACAAUAUGUACAGAGUUCAACUUUCAAUUCUUUCCCCCCGUCAAGGGGGAAGAAGGAUAGUUCCCUCUCUUAGGUGUGGAAUCUUGUUGCUCUACUUCCAGUGAUGAAAACUACUGAAGUGUUGAGCUUUUAUCCUUUCUCCUUAUGUUAAGGCACCUGUUUUGGCAUAUCAUCAGAUCCCAUUGGCAAACUCCCAAAAAUGAUACCUCUUUAGUAGUCUCCUGAUAGAUGGUUUCCUGGUAAGAUCUGUAAGUUGUACGGUGCCUUUUAUUUUUCAGUACUUUCUUAUUAGAGUAAUUUUAAUUAUUCUAUAGUCAUCUAUUCCAUAGUCAUCUUCAUUCUCAGAUGCAGUGAUUGGAGCUUCUCACAACUUCCUAUGCUUCAUUUCCCUCCUGUGACUGAGACCAUCCAAAGUUGUGAGACUACCCAUACAGAACAUUUAUGAAAAAUUGAAUCUUCCCCUAAUAAUGCAGAUUGCCAUAGAUCCUGGAAAACUGCAAGUCUCUUCCAGGAAAAGAAUAUCCUGUCACCAGGUCCAAUCCUGACAGAGGUAAAAAUUUACUCUCAUUUUUUUUAUUAGUUUCUCUCCUAACAUAUUUUGGAAAGAGUUACUGGAACACUAGAGCUUAAAUUUGUCUUGAAAUGGUGCACCGACCAGCCAAAGAUUAUUCAAGAUUUAUCUGCAGUGAGCGUCCUCACAAAAUUCUGUCAAAGUUUGGCUUGAAAAGCAAACCUGUUGUGUGAUUACUUCUCCAAAGAGUAUCUGAAUUUUUUUGUUCUUGAAAUCUACCAGCAAAUCUUAGAAGAGCAAGCUACUAAGUUUUCUCUUUAACAAAAGACAAAGUCCCAAUUCUGACUAUAUCAGAAAUAAGGGCUGUUGGGGAUUUUUUUAAAGCUAUUUUUAUACUGCCUCAUCAAGUCCACAUAAGCCAUGAAACAUAGAAGCACGCAGAAAUGUAUAGAUAAAGUGCCUCACUUCUUUCAGUUCAAUUUUAAUUCAUUUUGAAUGGAAUUAAGGCAAAGGUUCAAGUUGACUCCUUUUCUAACCUAAUUUUCUUCUCGCAAUUAGUACAUUUCAUAGUCUUGACUUUGGAGUACAUUAUUUAUUUAAGAUGUCUCUCUGCUAGCUGUGAAGAAUUAAUUCUUCAAACUAUGCAAUAGACAAAUAUUCUGUAGCUGAGACCAGCAAACUCAUUUUCACUUGUGGAUUUGAACUCACAGGCCAGAUUCAUCAAUGAGAUAAUGAGACAUUUUCUGUAUUUCAAUUUUUAACAAUUUUCAUAUCCGUAUUCAUUAAAUUUUAAAAGAAGAUAAAUAAUGGAUGGUUCUAGUGAUAUCUGUUAAAUAAAUUCCAUAGGAAGAGAAAACA
ensembl:lncRNA